CGGUAGAUGCGGUGCUUUUAGGCGCUCUGUCCGACAGAACGGUUGGGCCUUGCCGGCUGUCGGUAUGUCGCGACAGAGCACCCUGUACAGCUUCUUCCCCAAGUCUCCGGCGCUGAGUGAUGCCAACAAGGCCUCGGCCAGGGCCUCACGCGAAGGCGGCCGUGCCGCCGCUGCCCCCGGGGCCUCUCCUUCCCCAGGCGGGGAUGCGGCCUGGAGCGAGGCUGGGCCUGGGCCCAGGCCCUUGGCGCGCUCCGCGUCGCCGCCCAAGGCGAAGAACCUCAACGGAGGGCUGCGGAGAUCGGCAGCGCCUGCUGCCCCCACCAGAGAGUUUCGCUCAAGUCGAGGCUGGAGUGCAAUGGCGCGAUCUCAGCUCACCGCAGUCUCCGCGUCCCGGCUUCAAGCGAUUCCCCAGCUUCAGCCUCCCGAGUAGUCGGGAUUACAGGAAUGCGCCCCCACACCCUGCUAAUUUUGUAUUUUUAGUAGAGACGGGGUUUCUCCAUGUUGGUCAGGCUAGUCUCGGAAUUCCCGACCUCAGGUGAUCCACCCGCCUCGGCCUCAAAGUGCUGGGAUUACAGGCGCUAGCCACUGCGCCCGGUCUGUUUAGGGCUUUUUAUCCGGGCAGCUGGCGACAUUUUGAAAAGCUUGCUUUUGCUGUUUGCCAGAUACAUAUAUAUGUAUUUUGAGACGGAGUCUUGCUCUUUUGUCCAGGCUAGAGUGCAGUGGCGCGAUCUUGGCUCACCACAACCUCUGUCUCUCGGGAUCAAGAGAUUAUCCUGCCUCAGCCUCCCAAGUAGCUGGGACUACAGGUGCGCCCC
rnacentral:sRNA from 1 species